AACGAACGCUGGCGGCAGGCCUAACACAUGCAAGUCGAGCGAGGACUUCGGUCCUAGCGGCGGACGGGUGAGUAACGCGUGGGAACGUGCCCUUUGCUACGGAAUAGCCCCGGGAAACUGGGAGUAAUACCGUAUGUGCCCUUCGGGGGAAAGAUUUAUCGGCAAAGGAUCGGCCCGCGUUGGAUUAGGUAGGUGGUGGGGUAAUGGCCUACCAAGCCGACGAUCCAUAGCUGGUUUGAGAGGAUGAUCAGCCACACUGGGACUGGGACACGGCCCAGACUCCUACGGGAGGCAGCAGUGGGGAAUCUUAGACAAUGGGGGAAACCCUGAUCUAGCCAUGCCGCGUGAGCGAUGAAGGCCCUAGGGUUGUAAAGCUCUUUCACCGGUGAAGAUAAUGACGGUAACCGGAGAAGAAGCCCCGGCUAACUUCGUGCCAGCCGCCGCAGUAACAC
rnacentral:rRNA from 1 species